GUCUAUGGCCAUGCCACCCUGCUCCCGUCUGAUCUUGGAAGCUAAGCAGGGUUGAGACUGGUUAGUACUUGGAUGGGAGACCACCUAGGAAGACCAGGUGCUGUAGGCA
rnacentral:rRNA from 1 species